UAGACAUUUCUUCAUCUUUCUGAGCCAGAAACGCCGUAGCAAGUCUCCUAUGCUGGUUUUUCAUAUUUUUGCACCAUAUCAAGAAUCCAAAGAAGAACGAAGAAAAGAAAAAGUUGCGGAAUAGUCCCUAAAUUUCAAUAUUUUCUACAAAUCAGCCAAAGUUUCGAGGUUAGCUUGGGUUGGAGGCCGCCAGAGAUAUGAUCACACUGUCAAGCUAACGCUAUUGGUGUAGUGAUUUCAAGUACUUUGAGCCUAUGGCAUGUAUAGGAGUUUAAAUAUUAGAGUAUGUGAUAUGGCUUUAACCAUAUGUGUUGGCCUAUUUGGAUUAUGGGGUUGUAAAUCUAUUUUAAUUAUGCAUGCAUGUGCUAUGGUAUCAUGUGAUGAGUUUAUAAUGAUUAUAGUAUGAAUGUGGUAAAGAUGUGAGUAAAAUCUAUGAUAUCUAUUGCAUGUGAAAUUGCCAUAAUCAUGACAUGUUAGGAAUGUUUAAGUACCUAAUUUUGCCAUGUUGUAUGUUAUUGUAUAAGUAUGCGUGUAUCUAU